AAAGGAGGGGCAAUACCGAAUAUUGUCCGGAACCGUGAAGGGUUUCGGGGAAAGGGAGGCCUCUGACACAAGCUUUCGCCUUAAGAUGAGCCCAUGGCCCAUCAGCUAGUUGGUAGGGUAAAGGCCUACCAAGGCUACGACGGGUCGCUGGUCUGAGAGGACGACCAGCCACACUGGCACUGAGAUACGGGCCAGACUCCUACGGGAGGCAGCAGUGAGGAAUAUUGCGCAAUGGGGGAAACCCUGACGCAGCAACGCCGCGUGUGGGAAGAAGGCCUUCGGGUCGUAAACCACUUUUACUCGGGACGAAAAAGGGAUAUCAAACAAAUAUCCCCGAUGACGGUACCGUGAGAAUAAGCCACGGCUAACUCUGUGCCAGCAGCCGCGGUAAGACAGAGGUGGCAAGCGUUGUUCGGAAUUACUGGGCGUAAAGAGUCUGUAGGUGGUUUGUCAAGUCUUUGGUGAAAGGCCGUAGCUUAACUAUGGGAAUGCCAAAGAGACUGGCAGGCUGGAGGCUGGGAGAGGGAAGCGGAAUUUCUGGUGUAGCGGUGAAAUGCGUAGAUAUCAGAAGGAAGGCCGGUGGCGAAGGCGGCUUCCUGGAACAGUCCUGACACUGAGAGACGAAAGCGUGGGGAGCAACAGGAUUAGAUACCCUGGUAGUCCACGCCCUAAACGAUGGGUACUAAGUGUGGAGGGGUUAACCCUCCGUGCCGCAGCAACGCAGUAAGUACCCGCCUGGGGAGUACGGCCGCAAGGUUGAACUCAAAGGAAUUGACGG
rnacentral:rRNA from 1 species